CCCAACUGUCUCCACUCGGUGAUCAGCACUGAAUACAGGAGACUCACCAUGGAGUUUGGGCUGAGCUGGGUUUUCCUUGUUGCUAUUUUAAAAGGUGUCCAGUGUGAGGUGCAGCUGGUGGAGUCUGGGGGAGGCUUGGUACAGCCUGGUGGAUCCUUGAGACUCUCCUGUGCAGCUUCUGGAUUCACCUUCAGGAGCUCUGCUGUGCACUGGGUCCGCCAGGCUUCUGGGAAAGGACUAGAGUGAGUUGGCUGUAUUAGAAGCAAAGCUAACAGUUACGCGACAGCAUACGCUGCGUCGGUGAAAGGCAGGUUCACCAUCUCCAGAGAUGAUUCAAAGAACACGGCGUAUCUGCAAAUGAACAGCCUGAAAGCCGAGGACACGGCCGUGUAUUCCUGUACUAGACAUACAGUGAGGGGACAUACAGUGAGGGGAGGUCAAUGUGUCCCUGCAGGGCACACGAGGCCACCAGGGGGCGCUCGGGACCCACUGAGGACGGGACAGGUCCCAGGAGCAGAUGCAGAGGCAGGUUUUCUUUCUCCUCAGCUGGAGAAGUCAGGUUUGUGUUUUCAGAACUCUGGAGUCUUACAGGUUGUUACAUUUUCAUACAGUUAUUAG